rnacentral:rRNA from 1 species
ACCCGCUGAAUUUAAGCAUAUAACUAAGCGGAGGAAAAGAAACUAACAAGGAUUCCCCUAGUAAGGGCGACUGAAGCGGGAUCAGCCCAGAUUGUAAACUGACCUUAAUCAAGGUUGGGUUGUAGUCUAAAGAGGCGACGCCAGGCAAGGUCCGGGGAGAAGUCCCUUGGAACAGGGCAUCGGAGAGGGUGACAAUCCCGUCUGUGCCUCGGACCGCGUCGUACGGUGCGUCUUCGACGAGUCGGUUUGCUUGGGAUUGCAGACCAAACGGGUGGUAAAUUCCAUCUAAGGCUAAAUACGGGUGGGAGACCGAUAGCGAACAAGUACCGUGAGGGAAAGAUGCAAAGAACUUUGAAAAGAGAGUUAAAAAGGGCCUGAAACUGGUAAGAGGGAACCGAACGGCAGAAGUGGUGAUGGGCGCGUAUUUUCCGCCGGGCUCUUGGCCGGCGUACUUGUGCGCGUCCGUAGGUCAGCGUGGGUUGGGGCGUGGGAGUCGUUCAUGGGAAGGUCUUCGGGCCAAUCUCGUGUUCAGGCCGCGCCUGAGACCUUCGGUGACGAAAUUCUUCCGUUCACCCCGUCUUGAAACACGGACCAAGGAGUCUAAAAUACGAGCGAGUGCGCCGGUGGCAACCCGGGGCGCGUAAUGAAAGUGAGACCGACGGUGGGAGGGCUUUACGUCCGCACCAUCAACCGACCACGAUCCUUCGGGUGAAAGGUUUGAGCGUAGCUUGUAUUUUGGGACCCGAAAGAUGGUGAACUAUGCCUGAAUAGGGCGAAGCCAGGGGAAACUCUGGUGGAGGCUCGUAGCGAUUCUGACGUGCAAAUCGAUCGUCAAAUUUGGGUAUAGGGGCGAAAGACUAAUCGAACCAUCUAGUAGCUGGUUCCCUCCGAAAUUUCCCUCAGGAUAGCAGCAAUCGAAGAGUUUUAUCAGGUAAAGCGAAUGAUUAGAGGCCUCAGGGGUGGAACGUCCUUGACCUAUUCUCAAACUUUAAAUGGGUAAGAGCCAGGGGUUGCUUAAGUGAACCCCUCGGUCGAAUCGCGGUUGCUAGUGGGCCACCCGGGGUAAGCUCGGUUGGCGAUGCGGGAUGAUCCGAACGUCGAGUUAAAGUGCCUCACUGCCCGCUCACCUAGAUCCCACAAAAGGUGUUGGUUCAUUUAGACAGCAGGACGGUGGCCAUGGAAGUCGGAACCCGCUAAGGAGUGUGUAACAACUCACCUGCCGAAUGGAUUAGCCCUGAAAAUGGAUGGCGCUGAAGCGAGCGACUUAUACUCGACCAUCACGGCAAGUGCGACGCCGUGAUGAGUAGGAGGGCGUGGGGCUCGUGGCGCAUCCCGCGGCGUGAGCCGGGGUGAAACGGGCUCUAGUGCAGAUCUUGGUGGUAGUAGC